ACUUAAUCCAAGAGUAAUGAUGUUGCAGACAUUGUUAUGCUAUGUGUUUCUGUGGAUAUCAUGUAAGUUAAGGAACAAAUAUAAUGUUGUCUUGUUCUUUGUUUUAAAUACUUACACAGUGUAAUCCUUUUUAUCUUUACAGAUGUUCACUCACAGUCCCCGGUAAUAAUUCCUUCAGUUGGAUCUGUUGGUUCUGGACAAAGUUUUACUUUUAAUUGCAUCGUAGGAGCCCAUCAAUCUGAUGGAAUGGCUUUCUUUAAACAAACAAAGGGUGAACCUCCAAAGCUUAUUUUUGGCCAUCAUCAUACAAUACAAUCUCCUGUGUAUGGACCCGGAAUAUCUUUAACCCACUAUACUGGCUCAAGAAACAGUGCAGGCACUGAAUAUCAAUUAAUUAUUAAAAAUACAGAUAUAUCUGAUACUUCACUGUAUCACUGUGCUAACUGGUAUGUAAGUCUUACUGGGUAU